GCGUGUGUAGUUCAGAUGGUUAGAACAUUCGGCUGAUAACCGAAAGGUCACUGGUUCAAGUCCAGUCAUGCGUACCA
rnacentral:tRNA from 1 species